rnacentral:rRNA from 1 species
UACGGAGGAUGCGAGCGUUAUCCGGAUUUAUUGGGUUUAAAGGGUGCGUAGGCGGUAUGGUAAGUCAGCGGUAAAAGCCCGGGGCCCAACCCCGGGAGUGCAUUUGAAACUGCCAUGCUGGAGUGCCGGAGAGGUAAGCGGAAUUCCUAGUGUAGCGGUGAAAUGCGUAGAUAUUAGGAGGAACACCAGUGGCGGAGGCGGCUUACUGGACGGUAACUGACGCUGAGGCUCGAAAGCGUGGGGAGCAAAUAGG